GACGAAUGCUGGCGGCGUGCUUAACACAUGCAAGUCGAACGAUGAAGCUGGAGCUUGCUCCGGUGGAUUAGUGGCGAACAGGUGAGUAACGCGUGAGCAAUCUGCCCUUGACUCUGGGAUAACUGCGGGAAACUGUAGCUAAUACCGGAUACUUUCACUGGAAGGCAUCUUCUGGUGAAGAAAGAAUUUCGGUCAAGGAUGAGCUCGCGGCCUAUCAGCUUGUUGGUGAGGUAACGGCUCACCAAGGCGACGACGGGUAGCCGGCCUGAGAGGGUGACCGGCCACACUGGGACUGAGACACGGCCCAGACUCCUACGGGAGGCAGCAGUGGGGAAUAUUGCACAAUGGGCGCAAGCCUGAUGCAGCAACGCCGCGUGAGGGAUGAAGGCCUUCGGGUUGUAAACCUCUUUUAGCAGGGAAGAAGCGAAAGUGACGGUACCUGCAGAAAAAGCACCGGCUAACUACGUGCCAGCCGCCGCGGUAA
rnacentral:rRNA from 1 species